UCACAUACGAAUCGUUGAUCUCCGUACGCAAAACGGAACGCUAACCAGACCGCUCGUGAAGCUAUGCUUCCUGCCAACUUCCGAUGAUCGCAAAUCCGAAAACAUCAAAAAUAAACCGGUAUUAUCGCUACACAAUAAACGAACCAAAUGAAACCAAUAAAACGCGAGAAAGUACGCAAAUAACAACCAGUCGAACGAAGAAAACUAACACGAAUCGGUCAAUCAUUACGACGACCCAUUCAUGCCACAUAUCGUGGCACGAUGGUCCAUAUUUAAUUGUAUGAUAGAUUUAUAAUCGAUAAUCUUCCCUACACAGAUCACCAUGGAUGUUGAUACACCAAUCGCAACCACGUCAAUACCUCGGGCUACCAAUGCGCCACGCACCGGGCCUACUCCAGCGCCCCGAACUGUGGUGGCAACGACGCCGGCAAUUGCACCGGCAACCACGCCGGCAAUUGCACCGGCAACCACGCCGGAAACUGCACCGGCAAUAACGUAGGCACCUGUACCGGCAACCGCGUCUGUAGCACGAACUUCGGAGACCCUAAGGUGUCCCAUCUGUCGGCGCCCACAUCGCCUGCAUCAUUGUGGGAUAUUUAGGGGUAUGCGACCCGUGCAACGGCAACAAGUUGCACAGGCACACGGACACUGCCACAACUGCCUGUCACAUAGACAUCUGACUCCGGAGUGUGAGUCACGAGGGCGGUGCCAAAUAUGCCACAGGCCGCAUCACACGCUGCUACAUCGUAGCGUGGCUCGCGAAGUGAAUCGGUCACCCCUCCAUCGCGGCCGCAUGCCCCGACUCCAGCCCGCAGCUCGUGGCGCACACCAGCGCGACGGACCCUUGUUGCGGCGUCGACAGCCUGGGCCACCACCUCGCCGAUCUACGGGUCUGAGCAGCGUUGUGGCAACGCUGCAACAGCUGCAGCGCCUUUUGGGCUAAAGAGUCGUUUAGGGGGGCCGGGAUGGCUAAAUGAGCACCUGACCCCCUCUCAAAAUAAUACAUCUACACCUCUCACAAUACACACCAUACUCAACACAUCAUCCUCUCAUCGCAUACACACCAUACUCAACACAUCAUCUUCUCAUCGCACACACACCAACUCCACACAUCAUCCUCUCAUCGCACACACACCAACUCCACACGUCAUCAUUUCAUCCCACACACACCAACGCAUCACGAAUUCAACACACAUGAGGACACCGCACAAAAAAUAACAAAAGGGACCGACGGACUAGGCGCCGACCUCUUUCUCAUACGAUCCGUGCGCUUAUACGUACAUACGAGUAUCAACCAAGUUUCCCGCUUUGAAAUCGUUUCGCCAACACAAAAGGGUAAGUGCCGCGACGUUUUUUUUUUCGAAAAAAAGAAGACUUCUAUUUUAAAUAAUUGCUUUUAAAAAAAUUUGAUUGUUUACAUUUUUUUCUCUUUGUGGGGUCUAAAUCAGCUGUCGUAAUGUAAUAGAUUUCCAAUGAUGACAAGUAGAUGGCGCAAAUUCAGAGUCGCACCGAGAGACAUAUUCGACGAAGUGAUUUUUAAUUGUAAUUUUUGUAAGGCGAAAUCUGGAUAAAUUUAUAGGAUUAGAAGGGUAAACCACUCUACAGCCGAAAUCGUGUGAUUAAGUGUCGGUCUGAGCAUGGUAUUAUUCUGAGAAAACCUCACAACUGGUCUGCGAGGUUAUUCUUGCUCAAAUCUCACAACUAAAAACACAACACAAAAACAAACAAGACAAAAUAAAAAAAUGGACAACCAAGAAAUGUGAAUAAUUCUGCAAAUCUAUUAAAUUUGGUGCAUAUACUAUAUAAUAGUUUCAUUUAUUUUUAUUAUUUCAAAAUGUGAAAGAACAACUCAGGAGCAGCUAGCAUUACAGGGUAUUAUCUAUAUAUAUAAAAAUGAAACCCGUUUUCCGUUGUCACUAAUUCUUUUUUUGUUGUAUUUGUUAUUAUUAGGAGAAGGUUCUUAUGUAAAAAAAAUUACGAAAGUUGCCUGAAAACGCCUAAAAACAGUCCUUUUCUUUUUCCCAUACAAACGUUUUAUUUUGUAUAUACAUAUGUAAGUAAAAAUGAAUGUUUGGUUGUUAGUAACCAAAUCUUCAUGAAAUUUUCAGAAGUUGUUCGCUGUGGAUCUGGAAGGGUUCAGAAAUAAAAAAAAAACUUUUCCUAAGAAAAAGUCGAAAAAUUGGAAAUUUCCAAAAAUUGACUUUUUUCACACAAAGCACAUGAACGAGUACUCCCAGGAUGCGAUGACAUACGUGUGGAAUUAUGGAUCGGGGUCAAUCAGCAAGCGAUCGUCACGUUGUCACAGCACGACUUUUCAAACAACAGUUACGAUGUUCUUCUUUGGAUGGUGAAUAGUGGUUCCACCAGAUCAAAUUGAUGAAAUUACUUCUGCGGAAAUUCCUGAUGCAGAGAAAGAUCCAGUAUUAAACGAAGUGAUGAAAACCAAUAUGGUUCAUGGACCUUGCGGACACCACAAUCCCACUUCGGUUUGUAUGUCUAACAAUAAAUGCACGAAACACUAUCCACUUGCUUUUCUUUCGGAAUCGCAAACUGGAAAUGAUGGAUAUCCACUCUAUCGUCGUAGCUUAUCAGACGACCAUACAACUUAGAGUAGUGAAUAUCGAAGUUGAUAACAUAUGGAUCGUACUAUAUUCGCCACUGUUGUCUAAUUCACAUUCAAAUCUCAUGUCAAUGUUUGAUAUUGUAGUUUGGUGAAAUCGAUCAAAUAUGUUUGCAAGUAAGUCACCAAAGGAUGCAACAUGGCGGUUAUUGGUCUUGAACGAUACGGUCGAACUGCAAUAAAGCGCUUUGUAGGAUAUUUACUUUUGCAAUUCAUGAACGUUUUCCGACUGUUGUGCGUCUCGCAGUUAAUUUGGAGGAUGGCCAAAGAGUGUACUUCAACCCAGAGAAUAUAGUGCAGCCAGUGGAAGCUAAUUACGCAGAAAGGAAGGCCAACCAGUAGAUUGACAUCCAGGUUUAUGGUAUAGGAAAAAUAAUUACAUUGUCGAAGACAUUUUACAUCGUUUUCGCUAAGAAUUGGAAAUGUGUCAAUUCUGGUUGAUACUUCCGGUGGUUUAAUAUCAAUUCCAUCUGCCGUUUAUCAAUUCAUGAAAGAUGAACUCAUAAAGAAUAUUCGGACAUUGGCCAAAUUAUCGUAACUACGAUUUCUUGAGUGCACGCACAAUUUUAGCUGCCAAAAUUACCGAUGUUGUUGACUUAAACUGGAAGAUUUAAAGUCAAAUUCCGGGAGACUUGCGCUCAUACAAAUCGAUCGAUCGUCUUGACAAUGAGACGAAGCUGUGAAUUAUCAAGUGGAAUUUCUAAGUGCUUUGGAGAGGCUUGGUAUGACACCGCAUUAUUUGCGUCUCAAAGUUUGAUCUGUCAUUAUGUUUCGCAAUCUUCAAGCACCGAAACUGUGUAAUGCAACCCGACUGAUUGUAAGGUAGCUAUCUCAUAGAAUGGGGCAGAAUGCUUGACUCUACGAAUUCCUCUGAGCUCGAACGAUUCGCCAUUUCAGUUCAAACCUUUUCAGUUUUCAAAGAGUUGUACAAUUUUCCAUAUCAGUUCUAACGCAUUCCGUUUCCAGUGAAAAUUGUAUUUGAGAUGAGAAUCAAUAGGACACAAGGAUAGUCGCUAGAAGUGUGUGGCAUAAAUUUGGAAAUGCUAUGUUUUUCACACAGCCGGAUAUACGUGGCGUGCUCAGGAGUUGGAAAACCAUCUUCUCUGUACAUUUACGCACCGAAACAGACACAAAAAAAAUACUGUUUAUCUAGCUUCGUUACAUUGAAAAAAUUUGGAAAAAUCGAAAAUAAAUGAUUUUCAACACAAUAUAAAUUCAACUUUCUUUUCAUUUCAAAACACAUAAUUUCAGGCAGGACAACGAACUAGCUGACCCGGCAGUUUCAACAUAAAUAUACUUAUAUCCGCACAUGUAUUAAAUACAUACUACUGUGAUCAAAUUGAAAGAAGAAUUUUGGCUGGUAGUACUAUCAGUGACAUCUAUACUACUUUUCACGUCAAAAUAUUCAUUGGUAUUUGAGAUAUGCGUUGUUUUGUGGGGCUCUAAAAGUGAAUUCUUCGAUUUUUACUAUGUCAGAUUUAUGUUUGUUUAUUGAACAAAGAAGUGCAUUGGUUUUUCGUGAUCAUUUCGCCACAUUUUCAACUAAUAUCGUCCCGCAACCACCACAUUCGCGUGAUUUACCUUUGCGUAACUUCUGCUAUUCAGCAAAUUCACAUGAUCACUCCGAGGACACCGUUUUGACUCAAUUGAGUAUAUAAAAGCUCAAUCGAAGAAGGAUCUGAUGGCCAUCUGGACGGAGGAUUUUUCCAAGUGCUAUGAUGACUGGAAAAUUCGUUGGCAUAAAUGUAUUUCAGCGGGAGGAGAUUACUUUGAAGGAGAUAAAAUAGACAAAAUUCACCUUUCAAUUUGAUUGUAGUAGUACACAAAUAUUUACAAAUUAAAUUUUGUCUGAAUUAUUUAAACGUAAAUAUGUUAUGUCUACUACGAAAAGCCAGUCGCCCAUUACAAAUUCCAGUAUAGUCCAUAACUACAAGAAGGCACUAAGCUCAAUAAAAGACUAAGCUCCAACUAGACUUGAUCUGUUUUCCCGGUUACUGGAACAUUUUCGGUAACGAAAAAGCAGACGAGCUGGCAAAGGCAGGAGCUUUCCUUAACGAAUCCUAGGCGGAGCUAAUACCAAGCUCGCUAGGAUCGAUCAAAAGAGAGAUUAAUAGACAAUUUCAACAAGUUGCAAAUAACAGAUGGGAAAACAUAACAAAAUGCAUCAUAACUAAACAAUUAUGGCCAACAUAUGACAAGAAAAAACCAACAACUUAUUAAAUCGGUUUAGGAAAAGUAUCUACAGAGUAACAGCUACCACAACAGGGUACUGGUCAUUUAGAGAACAUGCGUUCAAAAUGUGUAUGCCCUACAACAACAUCUGCCGAAGCUGCGGAUAGGAAACAAUUUUCCACUUUCUCUGUGAAUGCCUAGCCCUAUCACAGAUCCGACACAGAACACUUGGAAUCCAUCAAGCACCAAACCUUGAAUGGAUUUCUACUAAAAGCAUAUCAGACAUAAGUAGCUUCAUCGAAACCUCAAAAUGGUUUGAGAGAGAAGGUGAAACGUGAUAGCAGAUACAGAAGGUUCUACGAAUAGUGUAUCAAAAUGGCACAGCUAGUGUUAAUUGAGCCCGAAAAACAACAGGGCUGCACUCCUACCUGCCUAUCUACCUACUUAUUCAUACUUAGAAGAAAGUAAAAUCUACAAACAACAUUAUAUGAAACACUUUUCUUACUCUCUCUAUUUGCAGUUGGUAGCGAGCUGGCAACAAAACACAAUCAGGGUCCCGUCAAUCAGCUGUUAGUAAAAAAAUGUGUGAUGACAGAAGAAUAGAGCUAAAGCGAACUUCUAAAAUCAGUUCGCUGUAGAAAUUUUGUAGAAUUAGACGUCGGUACUUUGUAAAAUUAUUUAUAUCAAUGGUGAUGUGGAAACCGCAAAAUUUCUAAAUAAUUAUUUAAUAAUGCCCAACUUCAAUUUAUUUAGAGUGGCAUCACUGAUGAAUACUUUGAAAAAUGCGCAUUUUGCCAGCGGUCUCACCAAGUAAUCUUCGUAUCACUUUAUCUUAGGGUUGGCUUCAAAUCUUCUCGCUGAUGAGAAUCUCACCUAUGGGGAAGAUGAACAAUCACAUGUAAUGCAAAAUUUGCUAUAAUGCUGUGGAGAAGUUGCCGAUAAUCAGUAACGGAGAAUUUUUUUUAACUCUGUUCAACAAGAAUUUUGCCGUAUUAUCAGAGAUAAAGAGAUCCUAGACCACUGAUAAAAAGUAUAUAACAAUCAAGAUUAAGUAAAUUUGUGAAAUUUAACUGUAUUUGAUGAAACGUUGGUAAUGUGAAGCAUCAAAUUAAGUAAUUUUGUGAAAUUUAAAUGUAUUUGAUGAAACCGCCGUUCAAAUUCGCUAAUAAAAAUUUAAAACAAUGAAAAUCAAACAAAAUGCGAAAUUUAAA